CAGCAGCCGCGGUAAUCCAGCACCUCAAGUGGUCAGGAUGAUUAUUGGGCCUAAAGCAUCCGUAGCCGGCUUUGUUAGUUUUCGGUUAAAUCCAUGUGCUCAACGCAUGGGCUGCCGAAAAUACUGCAUAGCUAGGGAGUGGGAGAGGUAGACGGUACUCAGUAGGAAGGGGUAAAAUCCUUUGAUCUAUUGAUGACCACCUGUGGCGAAGGCGGUCUACCAGAACACGUUCGACGGUGAGGGAUGAAAGCUGGGGGAGCAAACCGGAUUAGAUACCCGGGUAGUCCCAGCUGUAAACGAUGCAGACUCGAUGAUGCAUUGGCAUAUAGCCAGUGCAGUGUCGCAGGGAAGCCGUUAAGUCUGCCGCCUGGGAAGUACGUACGCAAGUAUGAAACUUAAAGGAAUUGGCGGGGGAGCACCACAAGGGGUGAAGCCUGCGGUUCAAUUGGAGUCAACGCCAGAAAUCUUACCCGGAGAGACAGCAGAAUGAAGGUCAAGCUGAAGACUUUACCAGACAAGCUGAGAGGUGGUGCAUGGCCGUCGCCAGCUCGUGCCGUGAGAUGUCCUGUUAAGUCAGGUAACGAGCGAGAUCCUCGCCACUAGUUGCUAUCAUUAUUCUCAGGAAUAGUGGGGCGAAUUAGUGGGACUGCCGUUGUUAAAACGGAGGAAGGAGGGGGCCACGGCAGGUCAGUAUGCCCCGAAACUCUGGGGCCACACGCGGGCUGCAAUGGUAGCGACAAUGAGCUCCAAACUCGAAAGAGAGUGGCAAUCUCUAAACGCUACCACAGUUAUGACUGAGGGCUGUAACUCGCCCUCACGAAUAUGGAAUCCCUAGUAACCGCGUGUCAUUACCGCGCGGUGAAUACGUCCCUGCUCCUUGCACACACCGCCCG
rnacentral:rRNA from 1 species